rnacentral:rRNA from 1 species
UACGGAAGAUCCGAGCGUUAUCCGGAAUUACUGGGCGUAAAGCGUGCGUAGGUGGUUUGUUAAGUCUGAUGUGAAAGCCCUGGGCUCAACCUGGGAAUUGCAUUGGAUACUGGCAGGCUAGAGUGCGGUAGAGGGUAGUGGAAUUCCCGGUGUAGCAGUGAAAUGCGUAGAGAUCGGGAGGAACAUCCGUGGCGAAGGCGACUACCUGGACCAGCACUGACACUGAGGCGCGAAAGCGUGGGGAGCAAACAGG